rnacentral:lncRNA from 1 species
CGAAGACAACCGUGAAGAGUCUUCUAUCACAAUUAUGUGAAAAGAAUCUCAUUAAUGAAGAGCUCAAGGACAGACUUGAGUUCUACUCAGGUACGAUGAAAUUACCACUGUGAAAUGUAUUUAUUAGCUAAAACUUGUAGUCAUAAUUGAAGGUGACAUGUGAAUUUUGCCUCAUAUUAUUUCAGAUCUUAAACUAGACUUCAUGGCCAGACGAGGUCAUGAGUACUCAAAGGAGCACAGGGAAUUUGCCCUGACCCUCCAUCUUCAUAGUCCUAAGGCAUACAGAUACCUUAGAGACACUAUGAACUUUCCCCUCCCCCAUCCACAUACAUUACAAAGGUAGUCCUAAUGUUAUCAAAUUCAGUUUCGGGAAGUUACAUACAGUAGUAUAGGCUAUAUGUUUAACUGCUAUACCUCAAUAUUUUUUGUACAGAUGGCUUUGUUCUGUGGAUGACAAGCCUGGCCUGAACAAAAUGAUGUUGGAUAUGCUGGAGGAAAGACGGAAGUAUGACCAUGCUAAAUAUGGGCGUGUUGCACUCAUGUUAGAUUCCAUGGCCAUAAGAAAACAUGUGCAAUAUAAUCCGCACAACCAGUCAAUGUCUGGCUUUGUAGACAUGGGUGAUGGAAACAAUGAGACUGAUGUUGCUACUGAGGCGCUUGUGUUCCUGGUUGUUGGCCUUCAAGGACAUUGGAAGGCUCCCAUUGCAUAUUACCUGACGAAGACUCUGUCUCCAGACACACAAAGGGUCCUUCUCACUCAUGCAUUGGAGGAGCUGCAUGCACAGGGUAUUCAGGUGGUAUGUGUCACAAUGGAUGGCCAUGCUACAAACAUCAGCAUGUGCAAUCAACUUGGUUGUGAGCUGAGGGGUAACCCAGAAGAGCCACUUAAAACCAGUUUCCCACAUCCGUCGACUGGUGACCAAGUAUUUAUAAUGAUGGACGCAUGCCACAUGCUGAAGUUGGCACGUAAUAUGUUGCAGGUAAAUUACAAAUGUUGUAUACCUAUUUGUACAAGUUAUGUCUCUGCUACUAAAAGUUGCACAUUUAUUACUGGAUGUGAAGAUCAACAUUGUGCUGUUUGUACUUGUUUGAGCAGUGACAAAUUCUUUCUCUGCAGUCAUACAGUCCGAUUGCAUCUACCAGUGGACAGAUAAAUUGGAGGUACAUUGAUCAGCUCAAUGAUGU